UUAAAGAAAGCGUAACAGCUCACUGGUCUAAAUAAGGGUCUUUGCGCCGAAAAUGUAACGGGGCUAAAGCCAUGCACCGAAGCUGAGGACACAUAGCAAUAUGUGUGGUAGCAGAGCGUUCCGUAAGCCUGUGAAGGGACAGCCGUGAGGCAUCCUGGAGGUAUCGGAAGUGCGAAUGUUGACAUGAGUAACGAUAAAGGGAGUGAGAGACUCCCUCGCCGAAAGACCAAGGGUUCCUGCUUAAAGUUAAUCUGAGCAGGGUUAGCCGGCCCCUAAGACGAGGCAGACAUGCGUAGUCGAUGGGAACCACGUUAAUAUUCGUGGGCCUGGUGGUAGUGACGGAUCUUGUAUAUAGUCCAUCCUUAUUGGAUUGGGUGGGCUGUGAAGAGGUUCCAGGAAAUAGCUCCACCAUUAUAGACCGUACCCGAAACCGACACAGGUGGUCAGGUAGAGUAUACCAAGGCGCUUGAGAGAACUGCGUUGAAGGAACUCGGCAAAUUGCACGCGUAACUUCGGAAGAAGCGUGACCUGCAGGGACGCAAGUCUUUGUGGGUGGCACAGACCAGGGGGUAGCGACUGUUUAUCAAAAACACAGGGCUCUGCGAAGUAGCAAUACGACGUAUAGGGUCUGACGCCUGCCCGGUGCUGGAAGGUUAAGAGGAGAGGUGCAAGCUUUGAAUCGAAGCCCCAGUAAACGGCGGCCGUAACAAUAACGGUCCUAAGGUAGCGAAAUUCCUUGUCGGGUAAGUUCCGACCUGCACGAAUGGCGUAACGAUGGCCACACUGUCUCCUCCAGAGACUCAGCGAAGUUGAAAUGUUUGUGAUGAUGCAAUCUCCCCGCGGAAAGACGGAAAGACCCCAUGAACCUUUACUGUAGCUUUACAUUGGACUUUGAACAGAUCUGUGUAGGAUAGGUGGGAGGCUUUGAAGCGGUGCCGCUAGGUGUCGUGGAGCCAACGUUGAAAUACCACCCUGGUGUGUUUGAGGUUCUAACCUUGGCCCGUAAUCCGGGUUGGGGACAGUGUAUGGUAGGCAGUUUGACUGGGGCGGUCUCCUCCCAAAGUGUAACGGAGGAGUUCGAAGGUACGCUAAAUACGGUCGGAAAUCGUGUUGAUAGUGCAUUGGCAUAAGCGUGCUUGACUGCGAGACUGACAAGUCGAGCAGGUACGAAAGUAGGACAAAGUGAUCCGGUGGUUCUGUAUGGAAGGGCCAUCGCUCAACGGAUAAAAGGUACUCUGGGGAUAACAGGCUGAUACCGCCCAAGAGUUCAUAUCGACGGCGGUGUUUGGCACCUCGAUGUCGGCUCAUCUCAUCCUGGGGCUGUAGCCGGUCCCAAGGGUAUGGCUGUUCGCCAUUUAAAGAGGUACGUGAGCUGGGUUUAGAACGUCGUGAGACAGUUCGGUCCAUAUCCGGUGUAGGCGUUAGAAUAUUGAGAGGAUUCUUCUUUAGUACGAGAGGACCGAGAAGAACAUACCUAUGGUGUGCCAGUUAUCGUGCCAACGGUAAACGCUGGGUAGCUAUGUAUGGAGUGGAUAACCGCUGAAAGCAUCUAAGUGGGAAGCCCUCCUCGAGAUGAGUAUUCUUAUCACA
rnacentral:rRNA from 1 species